rnacentral:rRNA from 1 species
UUCUUGGACCGCAGCAGGACGGACUACAGCGAAAGCAUUUGCCAAGCGCGUCUUCAUUAAUCAAGAACGAAAGUCAGAGGUUCGAAGGCGAUCAGAUACCGCCCUAGUUCUGACCGUAAACGAUGCCAACUAGCGAUCCGCCGGCGGCUUCUCGGCCCUGGUGGGGAGCUUCCCGGAAACGAAAGUCUUCCGGUUCCGGGGGAAGUAUGGUUGCAAAGCUGAAACUUAAAGGAAUUGACGGAAGGGCACCACCAGGAGUGGAGCCUGCGGCUUAAUUUGACUCAACACGGGAAAACUCACCCGGCCCGGACACCGUGAGGAUUGACAGAUUGAUAGCUUUUUCAUGAUUCGGUGGUUGGUGGUGCAUGGCCGUUCUUAGUUCGUGGAUCGAUUUGUCUGGUUUAUUCCGAUAACGAGCGAGACUCCAGCCUACUAACUAGUGCGGGCAUUGCCUCUGUGCUUGUCACUUCUUAGAGGGAUUGGCUGCGUCUAGCGGCACGAAACGGAGCAAUAACAGGUCUGUGAUGCCCUUAGAUGUCCGGGGCUGCACGCGCGCUACACUGGCAAAGGCAGCRUGCUUGUCCGCCUCCGAAAGGAGCCGGUAAACCCUUGAAAAUUUGCCGUGAUUGGGAUCGGAAAUUGCAAUUAUUUUCCGUGAACGAGGAAUUCCUAGUAAGUGCGAGUCAUCAGCUCGCGYUGAUUACGUCCCUG